rnacentral:rRNA from 1 species
UACGUAGGGUACAAGCGUUAUCCGGAAUGAUUGGGCGUAAAGCGUCUGUAGGUGGCUUUUUAAGUCCGUCGUCAAAUCCCAGGGCUCAACCCUGGACAGGCGGUGGAAACUACCAAGCUAGAGUACGGUAGAGGCAGAGGGAAUUUCCGGUGGAGCGGUGAAAUGCGUUGAGAUCGGGAAGAACACCAACAGGCGAAAGCACUCUGCUGGGCCGUCACUGACACUCAGAGACGAAAGCUAGGGGAGCGAAUGGG